rnacentral:rRNA from 1 species
UUGCCAGACUCCUACGGGAGGCCGCAGUGGGGCCUCUUGGGCAAUGGGCGCAAGCCUGCCCCAGCAAUGCCGCGUGAAGGAAGAAGGCUUUCGGGUUGUAACCUUCUUUGACAGGGGACGAGCAGAAGACGGUACCCUGAAAACCAGCCACGGCUAACUACGUGCCAGCAGCCGCGGUAAUACGUAGGUGGCAAGCGUUGUCCGGAUUUACUGGGGGGAAAGGGCGGGGAGCCGGGAAGGCAAGUCAGAUGUGAAAGCGGGAGGCGCAACCGCCGAAGGGCAGGGGAAACGGUGGGGCUGGAGGAGCGGAGAGGCAGGCGGAAGGCCUAGGGGAGCGGUGAAAGGCGGAGAUAUGAGGAGGAACACCAGGGGCGAAGGCGGCCUGCGGGACGACAACUGACGGUGAGGCGCGAAAGCGGGGGGAGCAAACAGGAGUAGAGACCCCAGUA